GCAAGCCAGGAAACAGGUUCAGAGAAACAAGGGACUGAUUUGCUUGAGAUCUGAGGGUCAAGGUCAAAUUGGCAGUGGCACCUGAAUUGGCUGUUUCAAGCUUGGUGUGCUCUUCAUCUGGAGAAAAAGUCCUGAAUGAAACCGUCUGUCUUUGGGGAGUUUCCUUUUGAGCUAUUGCAGUAAAGUAAUUAAUAGUAGGAGCCAUCUCAAUUGACUAGCUCAUUACACUUCUGUGUUUCCUAGCUUGAAAGAAAAAAUAAUUUUACAGUUCACAAAUAAGUAAUGCCUGAAUUUCUAUUUCUGUGUAAGUUUUGAGUACAAAGGAUUGCCAGCUCACUGACUUAAAUGUUUAGAAUAACCACUCCUCACUUCUUAGCAGUAUUCUCCACCCUUUGUGCCUUCAAUAACUUCUAUCCUUGUAUACACAAUCGCUUUCCAUUCUCAAGUGUCUUUGAAAGGAACAUCUGACAAUCUUUAAACACAUUCACAUCGAAGUUAGAAUUAGGACACGGGUUAUUCUGAACAAGAAAAUGUAACAAAACUUGCUAAGAAUUAUAUAAUGUGCUGUUAGCAUUUUUUUUCUUAUUUUUUUAGUUGUAGACGGACACAAUGCCUUUAUUUACGUGGUGAAGACUGAACCCAGUGCCUCACAUGUGCGAGGCAAGCACUCUAUCAUGAGCUACAACUCCAGCCCCUGCUUUUUACAUGUUUAUGUCAAUGAGGUCUAAAGCAAAAUCUAUAAAUGGGUUCUCCCAAAAUCCCACAAGAUUUUGACUACAAUUCUAUUCCUUAAAAAAAAAAAUAAAAAAAUUAAUUUUCUUAAUGGUUAUAACUCAUUUAUUCAGAAAUUAGACACUUAUUCCAACACUUUUCUUUUGUGGUGCUGGGGCUCAAACUCAGGACCUCCAGGAUGCCCUCUACCACUGAGCCACACCACCAACCCCUAUGAUGACUUUGUUUAUUAUGGUUACAAAUUUCAAAUAUUGUAAAAUCUCAAAUAUAGUUUAAACAUGAGCAGUAUGCUGUGUUUAAAGCCAACUUGGACUGUAAACCACAUUUCCCACUGCUACCAAUCCUAUUCAUCUCAUUAAGUGUUGUGAAUUCACUCCUGGGCUUAGUUUGGUAGAACUAAGGCGUUUAAAAGAUUACAUCAAAGAGCUUAGUUAUUAAAGUUUAUGAUCUAAAUGUAUGAGAGAAGGUUUUUUUUUAAAUAUUUUUAUUUGUUAUGAAUGGACCUUUAUCUAUUUUUUUAAUAUGUGGUGCUAAGAAUCGAAC
rnacentral:lncRNA from 1 species